rnacentral:rRNA from 1 species
GACGAACGCUGGCGGCGUGCUUAACACAUGCAAGUCGUACGGUAAGGCCCUUUCGGGGGUACACGAGUGGCGAACGGGUGAGUAACACGUGAGUAACCUGCCCACAACUUUGGGAUAACGCUAGGAAACUGGUGCUAAUACUGGAUAUGUGCUCCUGCUGCAUGGUGGGGGUUGGAAAGCUCCGGCGGUUGUGGAUGGACUCGCUGCCUAUCAGCUUGUUGGUGGGGUAGUGGCCUACCAAGGCGGCGACGGGUAGCCGGCCUGAGAGGGUGACCGGCCACAUUGGGACUGAGAUACGGCCCAGACUCCUACGGGAGGCAGCAGUGGGGAAUAUUGCACAAUGGGCGCAAGCCUGAUGCAGCAACGCCGCGUGCGGGAUGACGGCCUUCGGGUUGUAAACCGCUUUCAGCAGGGACGAAGCUUUUUGUGACGGUACCUGCAGAAGAAGCACCGGCUAACUACGUG